GGAGGCUGAGGCUAAGAGACUGCAUCUGGUCCUUCUCUUCCAACACUGUUUGUCUCUUGCCUUGAAAAUCCUAAAAGGUCAACUGCAACUUUAGGGCAUUUCAUACCACAAAAUAGGCAAAAAACCUGCAAUGCCCAAACAAUCACAGAGACCCACUGACUGCAAUGGUGUAGUUUUAAGAAGCUGGGUGCAAUUAAAGCUGCAAGUCUAUGCAACUCCUGCUUGGAGGUAAGUGCCAUUAGACUCAACAAGACUUGCUUUCAAGUAAAUGUGCCAAGGACCUGCAAGAUAAAAGAAGGAACAAGUACUCCACCCCAAGGAUUAAAAAGAAUGCCAGGAUGCUGAAGAAACCUGGUAAACUAAUGUUGAUUAGGUGAAGGGGAGAGAUGUGGCUGAACGCUACAAUGACAGAAUUUCUGGUUUGUUUUAACUGUUGUAUUGGUGACCAACCCCAGCCGAAGAGGCAUAGAAGACUUGACAGAAACAUGAUAGGAGAGCCAACCAACUUUGUACACAUCACCCAUGUUGGAACAAAAGGAAGAGCCUCUUGUUUUUCAACUGUUGGGCCAGUGCAGGAACAGAUGAAGUCCAAAGGAGAUUACAGCAACAACCAUUCUGCAGGUAUUCAGAUAUAGGAUGCCCUCAGAUGAGAGACUAGUGAAAGUCUGGCAUGCUGGCUUUUGUGGAACAGAAUUGUCCAACCAUCUCCAGCUGCAGCAUGCAGACCACUCAUUCCUGUAGUAUGGCUGUAAACAAUUAAAUUAACUCAACCAUUUGCUUCUGUGUAACCCUGGGAAUACUUUGCCUGAGCAGUUCUAAUCUGGCACUGAAAAUAACUAUUACUAGAAAUACUUCUGCAUUCUGACCAUGCCAUAUUCCCUGAAGGGCCUUGUGAAAUAAAAGGACCUGGUGAAGGAUAUUCCUGUGAAAAAACAAAGAGGGAUAAUUUAUGUUCCAAAUAGAACAAGGUGAUGGGAUUCUUGCUUCUGUUGUGAGGGGAACUGUCAAGCAAAAGUUAUAGAAAGGAGACUUGUGUCUAGAUCCAGGUUAUGGCUUUGACCAAGUUAGUUCUUAUGCCUUAAACAGUGAUUAUGAAUACUAUGUUAUGCAAUGAAUCUCUGCUGCUUAGUUUUGGUGUCUUCCACUAUUAGUAAGUGGCUUCUAAGAACUGUGCAUUCUCCAUCCCAGCUGGACAUUAACUUGUAAGCAGUGUCUAAUGAUUGGAUAAAUUGGACAUUUAUAGCUUUGAGUCACUGAACGUAUAAUGGAAGCUGCAGUAUGAGUUGAGUGUUCCAUGUAUUCUAAUAUCAAGUUCCUACAAACUGGAUUAUAGAACAUUGUUCUUCUGGAACUAAAGCUUUAGGCUUAAACUUUAAAAUAAUAACUUUGUCAGCUGCAUAAAAUGAAAGCAAAGGGCUGACAUCAUAGUUUUAAUGAAGAUUGCCAAAAUCCUUGGGCAAGUAAACCCCCCUCCAUCAUCAGGAGUAAGAUGGCCCCUCUAAAAUUUCAAAUGGGCAUUUUUAAAACUAGUAAACCCUGUGUUUUAAACAUUAAUCAGUCACUGAAAUUCCUGCAUAUUUAAUGUCAUAACGUAAUAUCAAAUUAUUCUAAUUUAUGUACUCUUCAAAUAAAAAGAUAAUAUUACUAUGGCCUGGUGUUAAUGUUCAGUAAUUAUCUGAUGUGGCAUUCCAACAUUUGCACAAUGGAUUGGAUGGUGCUGUAAAUCUUAAGUGCUAAACUUGACACAAAUGGUUUUGUACUUGUUCCAGUUAAACUAUUGUGUAUUAAAUAUUUUUGGAAACUCAA